rnacentral:rRNA from 1 species
AGCUUGCUACCUGACCUAGCGGCGGACGGGUGAGUAAUGCUUAGGAAUCUGCCUAUUAGUGGGGGACAACAUUCCGAAAGGAAUGCUAAUACCGCAUACGCCCUACGGGGGAAAGCAGGGGAUCUUCGGACCUUGCGCUAAUAGAUGAGCCUAAGUCAGAUUAGCUAGUUGGUGGGGUAAAGGCCUACCAAGGCGACGAUCUGUAGCGGGUCUGAGAGGAUGAUCCGCCACACUGGGACUGAGACACGGCCCAGACUCCUACGGGAGGCAGCAGUGGGGAAUAUUGGACAAUGGGCGAAAGCCUGAUCCAGCCAUGCCGCGUGUGUGAAGAAGGCCUUUUGGUUGUAAAGCACUUUAAGCGAGGAGGAGGCUACUUGGAUUAAUACUCUAGGAUAGUGGACGUUACUCGCAGAAUAAGCACCGGCUAACUCUGUGCCAGCAGCCGCGGUAAUACAGAGGGUGCGAGCGUUAAUCGGAUUUACUGGGCGUAAAGCGUGCGUAGGCGGCUUCUUAAGUCGGAUGUGAAAUCCCUGAGCUUAACUUAGGAAUUGCAUUCGAUACUGGGAAGCUAGAGUAUGGGAGAGGAUGGUAGAAUUCCAGGUGUAGCGGUGAAAUGCGUAGAGAUCUGGAGGAAUACCGAUGGCGAAGGCAGCCAUCUGGCCUAAUACUGACGCUGAGGUACGAAAGCAUGGGGAGCAAACAGGAUUAGAUACCCUGGUAGUCCAUGCCGUAAACGAUGUCUACUAGCCGUUGGGGCCUUUGAGGCUUUAGUGGCGCAGCUAACGCGAUAAGUAGACCGCCUGGGGAGUACGGUCGCAAGACUAAAACUCAAAUGAAUUGACGGGGGCCCGCACAAGCGGUGGAGCAUGUGGUUUAAUUCGAUGCAACGCGAAGAACCUUACCUGGUCUUGACAUAGUAAGAACUUUCCAGAGAUGGAUUGGUGCCUUCGGGAACUUACAUACAGGUGCUGCAUGGCUGUCGUCAGCUCGUGUCGUGAGAUGUUGGGUUAAGUCCCGCAACGAGCGCAACCCUUUUCCUUAUUUGCCAGCGGGUUAAGCCGGGAACUUUAAGGAUACUGCCAGUGACAAACUGGAGGAAGGCGGGGACGACGUCAAGUCAUCAUGGCCCUUACGACCAGGGCUACACACGUGCUACAAUGGUCGGUACAAAGGGUUGCUACCUAGCGAUAGGAUGCUAAUCUCAAAAAGCCGAUCGUAGUCCGGAUUGGAGUCUGCAACUCGAC